UCUCCCAUUUCCAACGGCCGAGAUCAUCUUCAUAUCUCUAUCUCCCUACAUACUCUCUGACUCUCUUCUCUCUCUAUAUCUGUUCUCCAUUCAUACUAAUCGACUUUUCCCUUGCAAGAUGGACACUCUUCUCUCUUUCUCUCAGAUCAUCUUCAUCUCUGUAUCUCUUCUUUUCUCUCUCUGAGAUCAUCUUCAUCUCACUAUCUCUUCUCUCUCUCUGUAUCUCUUUUCGAUCGGCGACAGUACAAGAUCGAAGAGAUGAUCGGCGACCACUUACCCACACCCCUCUCACUCCUCUCUGUCUCUGUCUCUCUCAGUCUUAGAAUGGAAAAACUGAUCACCAAAUCUACUUGUCUUUCACUGUCAUUCUAUCUCUCAUCUCUCUGUCUUCGAUCGGCGACAGUAUAUGCUCAAAAAGACGAUCGGCGACCGUCUACCAGAUCUCUGUCUUCGAUCUCUCAUCUCUCUGUCUUUUAUCUAUCAUCUCUCUGUCUUCGAUCUACCAGAUCUACUUUGAACUAUGAAAACAAGUCGAGACUGCUGCUAAAGUCCUAGAGGGAGAAAUAUUGAGAGUGGCGCUAUCGAAACCAAAGAAUGGUAACGCACAGCAGGAGCCAGUUGUGUCAGUUGUUCCUUCGCGCUCUGGUUUCCAACCUGUUGUUUGGUUGGAGGAUUUGAGAAAGGAUUUGAAAAGAGAAAUAGAAAAGGUAGGUGAAAUGAGAAUAAAAUAUACCUACAUUUCAUCUAGUUUCACACACGAUUUCCCUUUUCAUUUCCAAAUCCCUCUCCAAAUUUUCCAACCAAACACAGGAGAGAAUUGUAUUGAGUAAAGUUGGUACAUAACAUGCUAUUAUUCAAAUUGUAUGCUUCAAUGUAGUUCAAAUAAAUCUCAUUUUGUCGAGCUUUUUCGACAUAAUAUCAUAAACAGUUUAAGUACAUCAAUUAAAAAAACAAAAAAAAGCUUAAACAUCAUGUCCAGAUUAUUGACUCUGGAAAUGAAGAAUCUAAUGACAAUGCUAUUUGGGUUUGUUUUGAGCAUGACCAUUUUCAGUGUUGUAGGAGGAUCAAUAGGAAAUAAAGCUUCUUUUGUUUGCUCGUUGCAGUUGGUAUUUGAACU